GCCGGUGUGGCUCAGUGGACAGAGCGUCAGUCUUCUGACUGAAGGGUCCCAGGUUCGAGUCCAGUCAAGGGCA
rnacentral:tRNA from 1 species